GUGUUGUAUGACAGGAGAGAAGGUUAGCACUUCCCCUGAUAAGGAUGUCGAAGAGGCCCUUGGGCCUGACAACACACAUAUGGUUAAGGCAUUGUCAGCUACUGGCAUCUAAACAUCAUUUCUU